AAAAGAAAACUUUUUAACUUUUAUUUAAAAAAAAAAAACCCCUAAAUGCCUUGGAUAUUAUCUCAUCUCCCUCACUCUCCCUUUAUUCUCCAGCUGAAAGGCUCCUUUCAAGCCCCCAUCCACUCCCAAAAUCUGUUCGUGACCAACGGAGCUAGUCCUAUCGACGGCGUGAAUGCGAUAUAACUCCGGUAUGUAUGGCGUGGAGAGAAACCGUUCGUGGGUGUGCUGGCGUGGAAGAGUGGUGGAGAACAUGGGUGCAUGGUGGUGCUGAAAAUAGUUGUGGGCUAGGUUUAGGAAAAUUGGGCUUUCUGCUUUGGGCUGUUUUGAUUAGGCCCAGGCAAAAAUUGGGCCUUGCACCCUGUUUGGCCAGAUGAUGUGCCACCUCAUUAGCAUGCCUCUUUCUUUGUUGAAACCUACAUUGCUGAACCUGUUUAGCAAGUAUUCAACUCUUUGCUAUCAAGGUCCGAUUGUUGGUAGGUCUUCUUUGUCUUCCUUCAACUUCGAAACCACUUAGAGAGCAUCUCCUUUAAUAAUAAUGUGUUGUAAUCCCAAUUGGAGCCCUAUUUCAAUGGCUACGGUGGAAGCUAGUGCUUCGGUAACUUUAGUAAGGAUUAGUUCUCCAUUACCGUUGUAGUUGAAAAGUGGUAGAAAAGUGCUAUGAAAAAAUGUACUCAUUAGUUUUUGGUGUUCUCCGUUACUACAAAAAAUUCCCAUUAAAAGUCUAUCAUGUCUAAAGAAAA